GCCGGGCGUGGUGGCGCACACCUGUAAUCCCUGUGGCUCCGGGAGGCUGAGGCAGGAGGAUCAUGAGUUCAGCCUCCGCAAAAGCGAGGCCCUAAGCAACUCAGUGAGACCCUGUCUCUA
rnacentral:sRNA from 1 species